rnacentral:rRNA from 1 species
AGUGGAUGGGGAGCAACCUAGUUGUGCGUGUGUAAAGGUAGUGCCAAGAAAAGCGAUGAUCAUGUUGAAAAUCAAUUCCCGGUACCCGAAACCGACACAGGUGGGCAAGUAGAGAAUACUAAGGGGCGCGAGGUAACUCUCUCCAAGGAACUCGGCAAAAUGACCCCGUAACUUAGGGAGAAGGGGUGCCACCGAGAGGUGGUCGCAGUGAAGAGGCCCAGGCGACUGUUUAGCAAAAACAUAGGUCUCUGCAAACUCGAAAGAGGAGGUAUAGGGGCUGACGCCUGCCCAGUGCCGGAAGGUUAAAGAAGUUGGUCAGUCUUAGGAUGAAGCUAGCGACUGAAGCCCCGGUGAACGGCGGCCGUAACUAUAACGGUCCUAAGGUAGCGAAAUUCCUUGUCGGGUAAGUUCCGACCCGCACGAAAGGCGUAACGAUCUGGGCGCUGUCUCGGAGAGAGGCUCGGCGAAAUAGGAUUGUCUGUGAAGAUACGGACUACCUGCAUUUGGACAGAAAGACCCUAUGAAGCUUUACUAUAGCUUGGAAUUGUGUUCGGGCUUCCUGUGCGCAGGAUAGGUGGGAGGCGUAGUAGGUAUUCUUGUGGGGAUACUGGAGCCAACGGUGAGAUACCACUCUCAGGAGGCUAGAAUUCUAACUUAAUUAAGGACAGUUUCAGGUGGGUAGUUUGACUGGGGCGGUCGCCUCCAAAAAGGUAACGGAGGCGUACAAAGGUUCCCUCAGACUGGUUGGAAAUCAGUCGAAGAGUGCAAAGGCAGAAGGGAGCUUGACUGCGAGAAGUACAGUUCGAGCAGGGUGGAAACACGGUCUUAGUGAUCCGACGGUGCUGUGUGGAAGGGCCGUCGCUCAACGGAUAAAAGUUACUCUAGGAUAACAGGCUGAUCUCCCCCAAGAGUUCACAUCGACGGGGAGGUUUGGCACCUCGAUGUCGGCUCAUCGCAACCUGGGGCGGAAGUACGUCCCAAGGGUUGGGCUGUUCGCCCAUUAAAGCGGUACGUGAGCUGGGUUCAGAACGUCGUGAGACAGUUCGGUCCAUAUCCGAUGUAGGCGUGAGAAUAUUGAGAGGAGCCUUCCUUAGUACGAGAGGACCGGGAAGGACGCACCGCUGGUGUACCUGUUAUGAUGCCAAUUGUAAACGCAGGGUAGCCAAGUGCGGAGAGGAUAACCGCUGAAAGCAUCUAAGUGGGAAGCCCACCUCAAGAUGAGUAUUCUGGUGUAAGGUCACGGGAAGACGACCCGUAAAUAGGCACGAGGUGGAAGUGCAGAGAUGUAUGAAGCCGAAGUGUACUAAUAGACCGUCGGCUUGAC